rnacentral:rRNA from 1 species
AGACCCGAAACCCGGUGAUCUAGCCAUGGGCAGGUUGAAGGUUGGGUAACACUAACUGGAGGACCGAACCGACUAAUGUUGAAAAAUUAGCGGAUGACCUGUGGCUGGGGGUGAAAGGCCAAUCAAACCGGGAGAUAGCUGGUUCUCCCCGAAAGCUAUUUAGGUAGCGCCUCGUGAAUUCAUCUCCGGGGGUAGAGCACUGUUUCGGCUAGGGGGCCAUCCCGGCUUACCAACCCGAUGCAAACUGCGAAUACCGGAGAAUGUUAUCACGGGAGACACACGGCGGGUGCUAACGUCCGUCGUGAAGAGGGAAACAACCCAGACCGCCAGCUAAGGUCCCAAAGUCAUGGUUAAGUGGGAAACGAUGUGGGAAGGCCCAGACAGCCAGGAUGUUGGCUUAGAAGCAGCCAUCAUUUAAAGAAAGCGUAAUAGCUCACUGGUCGAGUCGGCCUGCGCGGAAGAUGUAACGGGGCUAAACCAUGCACCGAAGCUGCGGCAGCGACACUGUGUGUUGUUGGGUAGGGGAGCGUUCUGUAAGCCUGUGAAGGUGUGUCGUGAGGCAUGCUGGAGGUAUCAGAAGUGCGAAUGCUGACAUAAGUAACGAUAAAGCGGGUGAAAAGCCCGCUCGCCGGAAGACCAAGGGUUCCUGUCCAACGUUAAUCGGGGCAGGGUGAGUCGACCCCUAAGGCGAGGCCGAAAGGCGUAGUCGAUGGGAAACGGGUUAAUAUUCCCGUACUUGGUGUUACUGCGAAGGGGGGACGGAGAAGGCUAUGUUGGCCGGGCGACGGUUGUCCCGGUUUAAGCGUGUAGGUGUGUGUUCCAGGUAAAUCCGGUUCACUUUAACACUGAGGCGUGACGACGAGGCACUACGGUGCUGAAGCAACAAAUGCCCUGCUUCCAGGAAAAGCCUCUAAGCAUCAGGUAACAUCAAAUCGUACCCCAAACCGACACAGGUGGUCAGGUAGAGAAUACCAAGGCGCUUGAGAGAACUCGGGUGAAGGAACUAGGCAAAAUGGUGCCGUAACUUCGGGAGAAGGCACGCUGACACGUAGGUGAAGUGAUUUACUCAUGGAGCUGAAGUCAGUCGAAGAUACCAGCUGGCUGCAACUGUUUAUUAAAAACACAGCACUGUGCAAACACGAAAGUGGACGUAUACGGUGUGACGCCUGCCCGGUGCCGGAAGGUUAAUUGAUGGGGUCAGCGCAAGCGAAGCUCCUGAUCGAAGCCCCGGUAAACGGCGGCCGUAACUAUAACGGUCCUAAGGUAGCGAAAUUCCUUGUCGGGUAAGUUCCGACCUGCACGAAUGGCGUAAUGAUGGCCAGGCUGUCUCCACCCGAGACUCAGUGAAAUUGAACUCGCUGUGAAGAUGCAGUGUACCCGCGGCAAGACGGAAAGACCCCGUGAACCUUUACUAUAGCUUGACACUGAACAUUGAGCCUUGAUGUGUAGGAUAGGUGGGAGGCUUUGAAGUGUGGACGCCAGUCUGCAUGGAGCCGACCUUGAAAUACCACCCUUUAAUGUUUGAUGUUCUAACGUGGACCCGUUACCCGGGUUGCGGACAGUGUCUGGUGGGUAGUUUGACUGGGGCGGUCUCCUCCUAAAGAGUAACGGAGGAGCACGAAGGUUGGCUAAUCCUGGUCGGACAUCAGGAGGUUAGUGCAAUGGCAUAAGCCAGCUUGACUGCGAGCGUGACGGCGCGAGCAGGUGCGAAAGCAGGUCAUAGUGAUCCGGUGGUUCUGAAUGGAAGGGCCAUCGCUCAACGGAUAAAAGGUACUCCGGGGAUAACAGGCUGAUACCGCCCAAGAGUUCAUAUCGACGGCGGUGUUUGGCACCUCGAUGUCGGCUCAUCACAUCCUGGGGCUGAAGUAGGUCCCAAGGGUAUGGCUGUUCGCCAUUUAAAGUGGUACGCGAGCUGGGUUUAGAACGUCGUGAGACAGUUCGGUCCCUAUCUGCCGUGGGCGCUGGAGAACUGAGGGGGGCUGCUCCUAGUACGAGAGGACCGGAGUGGACGCAUCACUGGUGUUCGGGUUGUCAUGCCAAUGGCACUGCCCGGUAGCUAAAUGCGGAAGAGAUAAGUGCUGAAAGCAUCUAAGCACGAAACUUGCCCCGAGAUGAGUUCUCCCUGA